rnacentral:misc_RNA from 1 species
AAUUUUUUUUUUUUUUUUUUGCUUAUGUUUUUUGGUCAAGAUAUCUCACUUGUUUUUCUAGAAAUUAAGUAACAUUCUGCAUUUAGUUGUUAUGUAAUGAUACAUGUGAUCUUGAUAUACCAUCUAGUUUACCCUAUAUAUAUAUUGACAUUAACAUACUGUGAUACUGCUUUUAUCAUUAUCUGUCAACCUCCUGAUGGGCUAGUUUCGUAUUGUGUUGUUAGGGAGCCUUUGUUUGGAGUUGCAAGGCUUUGGUUUCUGAAGUGAGCAAUAUAAUGUGUUUCAUUUAUUUUCCUGCUGUUUAAUUCUUCAUUCUUGCAAUUACUAAUGAACUAUUUGAUUUUCCUUCUCUCUUAAUGUUUCGGGUGUAGAUUAAGGCAUCACACAAGGAAAUGGAGAAGAUGCUUCAAGAACAAAGGCCCUCUUCUUUUCAAGGUAGAUUGUUAAAGCACAAUCUUGAUUCUGAAGUUGUAGAUGCUCUCAAGGAUCUAAGGAAUAAGCUAGCUGAGAAUGAGUCAAAAAAUAGGUGAUCUAAUUUAGUUUUAGAAUUUAGAACUUAGAACUCUGAAUAUACCCUUUACCUUGGACAAUGGUCCUUGUUCAACUUUGGUCUAAAUUUUUGUUAAUAAUUGUAUAGGAGGGAUUCAGUGUUACUGUCCAUUUAUUUCAAAGUACCCUAGAGGAAGUGUUAGAUGCUGCACUCCAUUAUUAUUUCCAUCUUUCUUCAUUAGGCUUUAACUUCUACACAAACUGUAGAUUUUCCUCCAAAUUUGUUCUUUGUGGGGUUCUUCAGAUUUGUUUGGCACUGCUGUUGAAGUUGACAAAG